GUGCUCGCUUCGGCAGCACAUAUACUAAAAUUGGAACAAUACAGAGAAGAUUAGCAUGGCCCCGGGCAAGGAUGACAUGCAAAUUCAUAAAGCAUUCCAUAUUUUA
ensembl:snRNA U6 U6 spliceosomal RNA